GGCGGUGCGGCGUGCUAUAAUGCAGUCGACGCACUCUCGUUUAGAUUGAAGGAGCUUGCUCCUGAUUGAUAAACAUUUGAGUGAGUGGCGGACGGGUGAGUAACACGUGGGUAACCUGCCCUAAAGUGGGGGAUAACAUUUGGAAACAGAUGCUAAUACCGCAUAAAACCUAACACCGCAUGGUGUAGGGUUGAAAGAUGGUUUCGGCUAUCACUUUAGGAUGGACCCGCGGUGCAUUAGUUAGUUGGUGAGGUAAAGGCUCACCAAGACCGUGAUGCAUAGCCGACCUGAGAGGGUAAUCGGCCACACUGGGACUGAGACACGGCCCAGACUCCUACGGGAGGCAGCAGUAGGGAAUCUUCCACAAUGGACGAAAGUCUGAUGGAGCAACGCCGCGUGAGUGAAGAAGGUUUUCGGAUCGUAAAACUCUGUUGUUGGAGAAGAAUGUAUCUGAUAGUAACUGAUCAGGUAGUGACGGUAUCCAACCAGAAAGCCACGGCUAACUACGUGCCAGCAGCCGCGGUAAUACGUAGGUGGCAAGCGUUGUCCGGAUUUAUUGGGCGUAAAGCGAGCGCAGGCGGUUUCUUAAGUCUGAUGUGAAAGCCUUCGGCUCAACCGAAGAAGUGCAUCGGAAACUGGGAAACUUGAGUGCAGAAGAGGACAGUGGAACUCCAUGUGUAGCGGUGAAAUGCGUAGAUAUAUGGAAGAACACCAGUGGCGAAGGCGGCUGUCUGGUCUGUAACUGACGCUGAGGCUCGAAAGCAUGGGUAGCAAACAGGAUUAGAUACCCUGGUAGUCCAUGCCGUAAACGAUGAGUGCUAGGUGUUGGAGGGUUUCCGCCCUUCAGUGCCGCAGCUAACGCAUUAAGCACUCCGCCUGGGGAGUACGACCGCAAGGUUGAAACUCAAAGGAAUUGACGGGGGCCCGCACAAGCGGUGGAGCAUGUGGUUUAAUUCGAAGCAACGCGAAGAGCCUUACCAGGUCUUGACAUCCUUUGACCACUCUAGAGAUAGAGCUUUCCCUUCGGGGACAAAGUGACAGUGGUGCAUGGUUGUCGUCAGCUCGUGUCGUGAGAUGUUGGUUAAGUCCCGCACGAGCGCAACCCUUAUUACUAGUUGCCAGCAUUUAGUUGGGCACUCUAGUGA
rnacentral:rRNA from 2 species